rnacentral:lncRNA from 1 species
CCUGUCUUGACAUCAUAGGCUUUAUCCGAUUAUAAAAGCCCACCCAAAGGUUUCAAGUUUCUCACCCAUCAGUAGCCCAAAACAUGUCUGCCAAAUACAUGCUAGUGUUUCUCCUUGUGGUGAUGCUACUCACCACUCACUCUCUUGCUCAACGACAUAAGCCCCCAGGAGGGGGAAAACCACCAGUUCCCAAGCCUUUCUCAAUGGAGGAAUCCUCUAUUGAACCAACCGGAAGGCACCACGGACACAAGCCGGGACACCCUCCUGUUAUGGAGACUGCGGAGGAUGCCCACCACAAGCCCCCAGGGAAGAAGAAACCACCCCACAAACCUCCCUCAUCCAACUGAGUGCCCAACUCCUUAGCCCUUAACUAUUUCGAUCCGUGCAUGUUAAAUAAUAUAUGCAUCUCCUGAAAACCGCCCUUAUUGCGAGUGACUCAAUAAGCAUGCAUGGAUAUGGCUGUGACCUUACUGUAAUAAUAUAUAGCGAGAAGACAAUAAUCCCUUGUGGCUAUUUGUGAUGUUGAUUUCCUUGUAGUAGUAGUAGUAGUAGUAGUAUCUUCUAUGUUAAAAAGAUUGCAGACUCAUUUUCCCUCCUCAUACCUUAAAUCUUCAGUUUUACUUGAAACUUUUUGUUAAGCAGAUUGUGGUUAAUGGAAAUAAUUGAUGUAGUAACUCAUUAUAUGAAUAAUAAUAGUUUAAUGAUUAAUUAAACAUUUGUAAUAAACUAAAAGUGGCUAGAAUGAUGGUAUUACCAUAUAGAAAAA